AGGGUGCCGAUACAUGUGAGAAAGCAUGAUGAAGUGCCCUCUAGGGUGCUGAUACAUGUGAGAAAAUACAAU